rnacentral:rRNA from 1 species
AUGGCACCGCACACCACGGAAGCGGACGCCUCCGCCGUCGCCGCCGGCGACGAGGAGGCGGCGGUGGAGGCCGGCACGCUCCGCCACCGCCACAACGCCGCCAAGGCAGACGACGAGGACGAGAUCAAAGGGAGCGUGCCGCCCGGGGAGGAUGGCGCGGAGGCGUCCGUGGAGCGCGCGUUCGAGGGCAAGCCGGUGCCGACGUGGCGGGAGCAGCUGACGUUCCGCGCCUUCGUGGUCAGCUUCUUCCUCGCCAUCAUGUUCAGCGUCAUCGUGAUGAAGCUCAACCUCACCACCGGCAUCAUCCCCUCGCUCAACGUCUCCGCGGGCCUCCUUGGCUUCUUCUUCGUCCGCCUCUGGACCUCCGCCAUCGAGAGGAUGGGCUUCCUCCGCCAGCCCUUCACCCGGCAGGAGAACACCGUCAUCCAGACCUGCGUCGUCGCCGCCUACGACAUCGCCUUCAGCGGUGGAUUUGGCAAUUACUUGUUUGCCAUGAGUGGAACCAUCGCCAGCCAAGCAACAGAGGCUAACGAUGCUCAGAAUGUCAAGGACCCCCACAUCGGGUGGAUGAUAGGGUUCCUCUUCCUCGUCAGUUUCGUUGGGCUAUUUGCUCUCGUGCCCCUGAGAAAGAUCAUGAUUGUCGACUACAAGCUCACCUAUCCAAGUGGCACCGCGACCGCGUACCUUAUCAACGGUUUCCACACGCCAGAGGGUGCAAAGCUUGCAAAGAAGCAAGUAAGGACAUUGGGCAAGUUCUUUUCGUUCAGCUUCCUCUGGGGCUUUUUCCAGUGGUUCUACACUGCUGGAGAUGGCUGUGGGUUCCAGAACUUCCCUACGUUGGGCCUUCAGGCCUACAAGAGCAGGUUUUAUUUCGAUUUCUCCCCUACCUAUGUUGGAGUCGGGAUGAUCUGCCCGCACAUAGUGAACGUGUCUGUUCUACUGGGAGGCAUCCUGUCGUGGGGUGUGAUGUGGCCCUUGAUACACAACAACAGAGGGAGCUGGUACUCGGCUGACCUCAAAGACAGCAGUCUCCAUGGCCUCCAGGGUUACAGGGUGUUCAUAUCCAUCGCCAUGAUCCUCGGGGACGGCCUGUACAACUUCGUCAAGGUGCUCGUCCGCACGAGCGUCGCCUUCGCGGCCAUGGUGAAGAAGAACAGCACCAUCCCGGUCUCGGACGUGGGCGGCGCCAAGGCCACCGGCGAGCCCGUAUCGUUCGACGAGCAGCGCCGCACCGAACAAUUCAUGAAGGACCAGAUCCCCAAGUCGGUCGCCUACGCGGGGUACGCCGCCGUCGCCGCGGUGUCGAUCGCCACCCUGCCCCAGAUCUUCCCGGACCUCAAGUGGUACUACAUCCUGGUGGCGUACGUCUUCGCGCCCGUGCUGGCCUUCUGCAACGCCUACGGGACCGGCCUCACCGACUGGUCCCUCGCCUCCACCUACGGCAAGCUCGCCAUCUUCAUCUUCGGCGCGUGGGCCGGCGCCCCGCACGGCGGCGUGCUCGUCGGCCUCGCCGCCUGCGGCGUCAUGAUGAGCAUCGUCUCCACCGCCGCCGACCUCAUGCAGGACUUCAAGACGGGCUACCUCACGCUCGCGUCGCCGAGGUCCAUGUUCAUCAGCCAGAUCAUCGGCACCGGCAUGGGCUGCGUCAUCGCGCCCUGCGUCUUCUGGCUCUUCUACAAGGCCUUCGACGACAUCGGCAUCAGCGGCACCGAGUACCCCGCGCCCUACGCCAUCGUCUACCGCAACAUGGCCAUACUCGGCGUCGACGGCUUCUCCUCGCUCCCCAAGCACUGCCUCACGCUCUGCUACGUCUUCUUCGCCGGCGCCAUCAUCAUCAACCUCGUCAGGGACUUGGUGCCGGCCAAGGUCGCCAGGUUCAUCCCGCUGCCCAUGGCCAUGGCCAUACCGUUCUACAUCGGCUCCUACUUCGCCAUCGACAUGUUCGUCGGCACCGUCAUCGUCUUCGUGUGGGGGAUCGUGAACAAGGCCAAGGCCGACGCGUUUGCGCCCGCGGUCGCCUCGGGGCUGAUCUGCGGCGACGGCAUUUGGACGCUGCCGCAGUCCAUCCUCGCCCUUGCAAAGGUGAAGCCGCCGAUUUGCAUGAAGUUUCUAUCGAGAUCCGUCAAUGCCAACGUGGAUGCCUACCUAGGAAAUUAA